rnacentral:rRNA from 1 species
UGCGUAGACGGUUAUGUAAGUCGGGUGUGAAAGCCCCGGGCUCAACCUGGGAAUGCCAUUCGAAACUGCAUAGCUAGGGUGCGGAAGAGGGAAGCGGAAUUUCCGGUGUAGCGGUGAAAUGCGUAGAUAUCGGAAGGAACACCAGUGGCGAAAGCGGCUUCCUGGUCCAGCACCGACGUUCAGGCACGAAAGCGUGGGGAGCAAACAGGAUUAGAUACCCUGAUAGUCCACGCCAUAAACGAUGAGAACUAGACGUUGAGAGGGUAAGCCUCGCAGUGUCGUAGCUAACGCGCUAAGUUCUCCGCCUGGGGAGUACGGCCGCAAGGUUGAA